GGGCCGGUAGUUCAGUUUGGAAUGAAUGUUGGCAUCGUGGAGUGGCAUCGUGGAGAUCCCUCAUAUCAAUAGAAAUGAGGGGACCACAAGUCGCGAGUUCAAAUCUCGCCCGGUCCACCA
rnacentral:tRNA from 1 species